CUCUCUUUACCUUCCAAUGUGACGGCCAUAUCCACAGGCAGAGUGAUCACCUUUAACGUCAUCAGUGUCCUACAGCUGAGCUGUGGGAGCGGAGUGAUGAUUGUGCAGUCAGUUCUGUACAGAUGUGCAGAUAAAGAAAUCUGCUCUCGGCUUCACGAUCUGGACGUCAUCAAGAAAAGCUGUGACUUGAAGGAAGUGUGUGAAAUAAAUACAAACAUGGUCCGUACCUGUGAUCCCAGCGUCUGCACGUACCUGGACAUCACCUUCAAAUGCUUCCCUGCAAGUCUGUUACAUCUCUGAUUAUCAGCUAAUAAUCAAUCACAUCUGUAC
rnacentral:lncRNA from 1 species